AGCUAGAGUAAUUCGGAAGAUGGAACUUC
rnacentral:piRNA from 1 species